rnacentral:rRNA from 1 species
ACGGGUGAGUAACACGGUGGGUAACCUACCUAUAAGACGUGGGAAUAACCGUACCCGGGGGAAACCGGGGCUAAUACCGGAUAAUUAUUUUGAACCCGCAUGGUUCGAUAGUGAAAGACGGUUUCGGCUGUCACUUAUAGAUGGACCCGCGCCGUAUUAGCUAGUUGGUAAGGUAACGGCUUACCAAGGCGACGAUACGUAGCCGACCUGAGAGGGUGAUCGGCCACACUGGAACUGAGACACGGUCCAGACUCCUACGGGAGCAGCAGCA